rnacentral:rRNA from 1 species
UACGAAGGGGGCUAGCGUUGUUCGGAAUUACUGGGCGUAAAGCGUGCGCAGGCGGCUUCUCAAGUCAGGGGUGAAAGCCCAGAGCUCAACUCUGGAAUUGCCUUUGAGACUGAGUGGCUUGAGUACGAGAGAGGUGAGUGGAAUUCCCAGUGUAGAGGUGAAAUUCGUAGAUAUUGGGAAGAACACCAGUGGCGAAGGCGGCUCUCUGGACCGUAACUGACGCUGAGGCGCGAAAGCGUGGGGAGCAAACAGG